rnacentral:rRNA from 1 species
CCUACGGGAGGCUGCAGUGGGGAAUAUUGCACAAUGGGGGAAACCCUGAUGCAGCGACGCCGCGUGAGUGUAGCAGUAUUUCGGUCUGUAAAGCUCUAUCAGCCGGGAAGAAAUAGCGACCUUUGGGUCGCCAGACGGUAACUGAUUAAGAAGCCACGGCUAAAUACGUGCCAGCCGCCGCGGUAAUUCGUAGGGGGCAAGCGUUAUCCGGAUUUACUGGGGUUAAAGGGAUCUUAGACGGCAGCGCAAGACUGAAGUGAAAUGCCGGGGCUUAACCCCGGAACUGCUUUGGAAACUGUGCAGCGAGAGUGCAGGAGAGGUAAGUGGAAUUCCUAGUGUAGCGGUGAAAUGCGUAGAUAUUAGGAGGAACACCAGUGGCGAAGGCGGCUUACUGGACUGUAACUGACGUUGAGGCUCGAAAGCGUGGGGAGCAAACAGGAUUAGAUACCCCGGUAGUC